rnacentral:rRNA from 1 species
AGAGUGGACGGCCACAUUGGGACUGAGACACGGCCCAAACUCCUACGGGAGGCAGCAGUGGGGAAUAUUGCACAAUGGGGGAAACCCUGAUGCAGCGACGCCGCGUGAGUGAAGAAGUAUUUCGGUAUGUAAAGCUCUAUCAGCAGGGAAGAAAAAAGACGGUACCUGACUAAGAAGCCCCGGCUAACUACGUGCCAGCAGCCGCGGUAAUACGUAGGGGGCAAGCGUUAUCCGGAAUUACUGGGUGUAAAGGGUGCGUAGGUGGCAUGGUAAGUCAGAAGUGAAAGCCCGGGGCUUAACCCCGGGACUGCUUUUGAAACUGUCAUGCUGGAGUGCAGGAGAGGUAAGCGGAAUUCCUAGUGUAGCGGUGAAAUGCGUAGAUAUUAGGAGGAACACCAGUGGCGAAGGCGGCUUACUGGACUGUCACUGACACUGAUGC